CAAUAAGCGGAGGAAAAGAAACUAACAAGGAUUCCCCUAGUAACUGCGAGUGAAGCGGGAAAAGCUCAAAUUUAAAAUCUGUCAGUCUUUGGCUGUCCGAGUUGUAAUCUAGAGAAGUGUUAUCCGCGCUGGACCGUGUACAAGUCUCCUGGAAUGGAGCGUCAUAGAGGGUGAGAAUCCCGUCUUUGACACGGACUGCCAGGGCUUUGUGAUGCGCUCUCAAAGAGUCGAGUUGUUUGGGAAUGCAGCUCAAAAUGGGUGGUAAAUUCCAUCUAAAGCUAAAUAUUGGCGAGAGACCGAUAGCGAACAAGUACCGUGAGGGAAAGAUGAAAAGAACUUUGGAAAGAGAGUUAAACAGUACGUGAAAUUGCUGAAAGGGAAACGCUUGAAGUCAGUCGCGUUGUCCAGGGAUCAACCUUGCUUUUGCUUGGUGUACUUUCUGGUUGACGGGUCAGCAUCAAUUUUGACCAUUGGAAAAAGAUUAGGGGAAUGUGGCAUCCUCGGAUGUGUUAUAGCCCUUGGUUGCAUACAAUGAUUGGGAUUGAGGAACUCAGCACGCCGCAAGGCCGGGUUUUUACCACGUACGUGCUUAGGAUGCUGGCAUAAUGGCUUUAAUCGACCCGUCUUGAAACACGGACCAAGGAGUCUAACAUGCCUGCGAGUGUUUGGGUGGAAAACCCGAGCGCGUAAUGAAAGUGAAAGUUGAGAUCCUUGUCAUGGGGAGCAUCGACGCCCGGACCAGACCUUUUGUGACGGUUCCGCGGUAGAGCAUGUAUGUUGGGACCCGAAAGAUGGUGAACUAUGCCUGAAUAGGGUGAAGCCAGAGGAAACUCUGGUGGAGGCUCGUAGCGAUUCUGACGUGCAAAUCGAUCGUCAAAUUUGGGUAUAGGGGCGAAAGACUAAUCGAACCAUCUAGUAGCUGUUUCCUGCCGAAGUUUCCCUCAG
rnacentral:rRNA from 1 species